rnacentral:tRNA from 1 species
UUCCCAGAUAGCUCAAUGGUAGAGCAUUCGGCUGUUAACCGAAGGGUUGUAGGUUCGAGUCCUACUCGGCGGGCAACCA